CACGUAGUUAGCCGUGGCUUAUUCCUCAGGUACCGUCACUUUCUUCGUCCCUGAGAAAAGAAGUUUACAACCCGAAAGCCUUCUUCCUUCACGCGGCGUUGCUGGGUCAGGCUUGCGCCCAUUGCCCAAUAUUCCCCACUGCUGCCUCCCGUAGGAGUCUGGGCCGUGUCUCAGUCCCAAUGUGGCCGGCCAACCUCUCAGUCCGGCUACUGAUCGUCGCCUUGGUGGGCCGUUACCCCGCCAACAAGCUAAUCAGACGCGAGCUCAUCUCAGAGCGAUAAAUCUUUGACAGCCAACCCCAUGCGGGAUAGCUGUAUCAUGCGGUAUUAGCGGCUGUUUCCAACCGUUAUUCCCCACUCCAAGGCAGAUUGCUCACGCGUUACUCACCCGUCCGCCACUUUCCCCAACUUCCUUUGGACGAAUCCUCAUUCCAUUGGUUCUCGUUCGACUUGCAUGUGUUAAGCACGCCGCCAGCGUUCAUCCUGAGCCAGGAUCAAACUCU
rnacentral:rRNA from 1 species